UGGUCGGCUUUUACAUUGAAG
rnacentral:misc_RNA from 1 species